ACGUACGGCCAUAGAUACUGGAAAGCACGGGAUCCCGUCCGCUCUCCCCUUGUUAAACCAGUGGUCGGCGGAUUAGUAGUUGGGUCGGUGACGACCAGCGAAUCCCCGCUGCUGUACGUU
rnacentral:rRNA from 1 species